UGGUGGAGUGAUUUGUCUGGUUAAUUCCGUUAACGAACGAGACCUCGACCUGCUAAAUAGACCAACGUAUCUACGGAUAUGUAUGGGACUUCUUAGAGGGACUGUCGGAAUCUAUAGCCGAAGGAAGUUCGAGGCAAUAACA
rnacentral:rRNA from 1 species